AAUAUCCUGAUUCUAACUGGCCAGUCCUAGACCAUGCGCCCACAUGAACUGAGAAUGAGAGAGGGAUGUUCCCCCAACAGCAAACUGGAUACAAAAGAAGAGGGAAGGGAUGCAGGCCAGGCAGAGGCAACUGACGUCCACCAGCAUUCCGCUUCCCCAUGUGACAAACGAGGAAGCCAAGGCUCAGAGAGGAGGCUACAUCUGCCUCUGGAUGAGAACCAGAACACCACGCUGACCGAGCCUGGCGCUCUUCUGUGGACUCAGGGCCUGACACAGAGAAAGCACUUAAUAAGUGUUUGAUGAAUGAACAAAUGAAACAUUCUGGAGUCAAAGAGGACUAGGUACGAAUCCCAGCUCUACCACUUACUAGCUGUAUGGUGUCGAGCAAGUCACUUAACCCUUCUGUGCCUCAGUUUCCACAUCUGUAAGAUGGGGAGAACACCAGCACCAUCUUCAGAGGGUUGUUAUAAGGAUUCAACAAGUUAAUUCUUAUAAAAUGCUUAGGACAUUGCCCGAGGCUUAAUGAGCUCUAUAUCACUGUUUCUUAAAUAAAUGAGCUAAUAAAUGAA